UGUUGGAGGAGGAGGAGAAUUUGUUACAGGUGGAGGACUACUAGAAUGAGAACUAGAUGGUGGAGUAACAUUUGGAGGUGCAGAGGAACUUUCAGGGGCCUUUUCUGCUGGUGGAGAUGGUGUAUCAAUGGACGGAGGCGCAGGGACAUUAACAGGAGAAGGUGGAGGAGGGGCAACAGCUUGAGGGGAAGGAGGAGAUGCAACAGGUGUGGUUGGGGAGAACUGGGGAGAGGGAGAGCUGCUUGCUGGUGGUGGAGGAGGAGAUACAUGAGGAGGAGGGGGCAGUGAAGUAGUGACAGCUGGAGGAGGGGCAAUAGGUGUUGAUGGAGGUGGUGAUGUUGGAGGGGCUGGUGGU
rnacentral:misc_RNA from 1 species